AGUAAUGUCUGGGAAACUGCCUGAUGGAGGGGGAUAACUACUGGAAACGGUAGCUAAUACCGCAUAACGUCGCAAGACCAAANAGGGGGACCCUCGGGCCUCUUGCCAUCGGAUGUGCCCAGAUGGGAUUAGCUUGUUGGUGGGGUAACGGCUCACCAAGGCGACGAUCCCUAGCUGGUCUGAGAGGAUGACCAGCCACACUGAAACUGAGACACGGUCCAGACUCCUACGGGAGGCAGCAUG
rnacentral:rRNA from 1 species